rnacentral:rRNA from 1 species
AUGAACGCUGGCGGCGUGCCUAAUACAUGCAAGUCGAGCGAACAGACGAGGAGCUUGCUCCUCUGACGUUAGCGGCGGACGGGUGAGUAACACGUGGAUAACCUACCUAUAAGACUGGGAUAACUUCGGGAAACCGGAGCUAAUACCGGAUAAUAUAUUGAACCGCAUGGUUCAAUAGUGAAAGACGGUUUUGCUGCCACUUAUAGAUGGAUCCGCGCCGCAUUAGCUAGUUGGUAAGGUAACGGCUUACCAAGGCGACGAUGCGUAGCCGACCUGAGAGGGUGAUCGGCCACACUGGAACUGAGACACGGUCCAGACUCCUACGGGAGGCAGCAGUAGGGAAUCUUCCGCAAUGGGCGAAAGCCUGACGGAGCAACGCCGCGUGAGUGAUGAAGGUCUUCGGAUCGUAAAACUCUGUUAUUAGGGAAGAACAAAUGUGUAAGUAACUAUGCACGUCUUGACGGUACCUAAUCAGAAAGCCACGGCUAACUACGU